rnacentral:rRNA from 1 species
UUUUUUUCGUGUUUUUCGUUUUCCUUUUCCCUUCUUUUUAGGGGUUAUUUUUCCCGCUCAGGACGAACGCUGGCGGCGUGCUUAACACAUGCAAGUCGAACGAUGAACCACCUUCGGGUGGGGAUUAGUGGCGAACGGGUGAGUAACACGUGGGCAAUCUGCCCUGCACUCUGGGACAAGCCCUGGAAACGGGGUCUAAUACCGGAUACUGACCUGCCAAGGCAUCUUGGCGGGUCGAAAGCUCCGGCGGUGCAGGAUGAGCCCGCGGCCUAUCAGCUUGUUGGUGAGGUAAUGGCUCACCAAGGCGACGACGGGUAGCCGGCCUGAGAGGGCGACCGGCCACACUGGGACUGAGACACGGCCCAGACUCCUACGGGAGGCAGCAGUGGGGAAUAUUGCACAAUGGGCGAAAGCCUGAUGCAGCGACGCCGCGUGAGGGAUGACGGCCUUCGGGUUGUAAACCUCUUUCAGCAGGGAAGAAGCGAAAGUGACGGUACCUGCAGAAGAAGCGCCGGCUAACUACGUGCCAGCAGCCGCGGUAAUACGUAGGGCGCAAGCGUUGUCCGGAAUUAUUGGGCGUAAAGAGCUCGUAGGCGGCUUGUCGCGUCGGUUGUGAAAGCCCGGGGCUUAACCCCGGGUCUGCAGUCGAUACGGGCAGGCUAGAGUUCGGUAGGGGAGAUCGGAAUUCCUGGUGUAGCGGUGAAAUGCGCAGAUAUCAGGAGGAACACCGGUGGCGAAGGCGGAUCUCUGGGCCGAUACUGACGCUGAGGAGCGAAAGCGUGGGGAGCGAACAGGAUUAGAUACCCUGGUAGUCCACGCCGUAAACGGUGGGCACUAGGUGUGGGCAACAUUCCACGUUGUCCGUGCCGCAGCUAACGCAUUAAGUGCCCCGCCUGGGGAGUACGGCCGCAAGGCUAAAACUCAAAGGAAUUGACGGGGGCCCGCACAAGCGGCGGAGCAUGUGGCUUAAUUCGACGCAACGCGAAGAACCUUACCAAGGCUUGACAUACACCGGAAAGCAUCAGAGAUGGUGCCCCCCUUGUGGUCGGUGUACAGGUGGUGCAUGGCUGUCGUCAGCUCGUGUCGUGAGAUGUUGGGUUAAGUCCCGCAACGAGCGCAACCCUUGUCCCGUGUUGCCAGCAACUCUUCGGAGGUUGGGGACUCACGGGAGACCGCCGGGGUCAACUCGGAGGAAGGUGGGGACGACGUCAAGUCAUCAUGCCCCUUAUGUCUUGGGCUGCACACGUGCUACAAUGGCCGGUACAAUGAGCUGCGAUACCGCAAGGUGGAGCGAAUCUCAAAAAGCCGGUCUCAGUUCGGAUUGGGGUCUGCAACUCGACCCCAUGAAGUCGGAGUCGCUAGUAAUCGCAGAUCAGCAUUGCUGCGGUGAAUACGUUCCCGGGCCUUGUACACACCGCCCGUCACGUCACGAAAGUCGGUAACACCCGAAGCCGGUGGCCCAACCCCUUGUGGGAGGGAGCUGUCGAAGGUGGGACUGGCGAUUGGGACGAAUCUAAAAGGGGGGACCCAAAAAGGGGGGGCCCCGCGGGCAAGAGGGCCCCCUGGGGAGGGGGGGGCGGGGGUGGAGGGGCGCUUUGGGGGGGGGGGGUGGCGCCGGGGGUGGGGGGGGGGUGUGGGGGGGGGGGCGGGGGGGUGCACGGGAUGCGCGGGGGGGGGGGGGUUAGGAGGGGGGCGGGCGGCGGUGGGGGGGGGGGGGGGGGGCUCCGGCCGGCGGGGGGGGUAGGGGGGGGGGUUCGCAUGCGUGGGGGGGGGGGGGGGUUGUUUC